rnacentral:rRNA from 2 species
UGAACGCUAGCUACAGGCUUAACACAUGCAAGUCGAGGGGAAACGACAUCGAAAGCUUGCUUUUGAUGGGCGUCGACCGGCGCACGGGUGAGUAACGCGUAUCCAACCUGCCCACCACUUGGGGAUAACCUUGCGAAAGUAAGACUAAUACCCAAUGACGUCUCUAGAAGACAUCUGAAGGAGAUUAAAGAUUUAUCGGUGAUGGAUGGGGAUGCGUCUGAUUAGCUUGUUGGCGGGGUAACGGCCCACCAAGGCGACGAUCAGUAGGGGUUCUGAGAGGAAGGUCCCCCACAUUGGAACUGAGACACGGUCCAAACUCCUACGGGAGGCAGCAGUGAGGAAUAUUGGUCAAUGGACGAGAGUCUGAACCAGCCAAGUAGCGUGCAGGAUGACGGCCCUAUGGGUUGUAAACUGCUUUUAUAAGGGAAUAAAGUGAGUCUCGUGAGACUUUUUGCAUGUACCUUAUGAAUAAGGACCGGCUAAUUCCGUGCCAGCAGCCGCGGUAAUACGGAAGGUCCGGGCGUUAUCCGGAUUUAUUGGGUUUAAAGGGAGCGUAGGCCGGAGAUUAAGCGUGUUGUGAAAUGUAGACGCUCAACGUCUGCACUGCAGCGCGAACUGGUUUCCUUGAGUACGCACAAAGUGGGCGGAAUUCGUGGUGUAGCGGUGAAAUGCUUAGAUAUCACGAAGAACUCCGAUUGCGAAGGCAGCUCACUGGAGCGCAACUGACGCUGAAGCUCGAAAGUGCGGGUAUCGAACAGGAUUAGAUACCCUGGUAGUCCGCACGGUAAACGAUGGAUGCCCGCUGUUGGUCUGAAUAGGUCAGCGGCCAAGCGAAAGCAUUAAGCAUCCCACCUGGGGAGUACGCCGGCAACGGUGCAA